CUCAGCUUGUACAGAUCUGUCCCCAUGCGUCCCUGGCAGCUCCAGGGUGACACACAGGGCAGAUCUGGCUCUGCUGCUUCUGCAAACCUCCUUGUCUACUCCCCAAACUCCUCCAUGGGGGCUGGGAAUGGCCAUUAGUCUUUGAUUAGUCCUUACUUGUGGUCCCAAGAGAUAAUGGCCUUCAGUACCAGUAACAUCCUGACUCUCAGAUUUGUCCCAGAUUGGGUCACCCCCUCUGUGGACACAAUGACCACAGGAUUUUGGACAUCCCCUCUGUGGAGCACAAUGACCAAAGGAUUUUGGACAUCCCCUCUGUGGAGCACAAUGACCCUCUUCUCCAAAACACUAUAGGGACAUGAUUUUCAAAAUGAAAGGUCUUUAACCAAUGGUGGUCACAAUUUAGCUGUUUUGUUAUAGUGCUGCUCCUGAUCAGAGAGCAGAGAAAAUGAGACAAAAACAAUGCAUCAUGUAGGGGGAAAAAAGGUAAUAUUGUUUGGAAAAUAAGCUUACAAAACUUGCUCCUCUGUUUACAUUGUUAAUUUAGUCUCUCAGUGAACAAAUCUAUUUUUCAAAUUUGCUUCUACGGCUUUCACUUGUUACAAAUUCCUAUGACACUUUAUCAGGAAAAGUAUUAAACUUAUAAUUAACAUAAUUCUACCACCACCACGAGUUUUGCAGAAGUCUUGUCUAGCAUGAUUUGUUUUUAACAAGCUCAUAGGGAUUUUUUGUUUUCAUGGACAAAAAAUUUUGAAAAUAUAAUUGUACUUAUUUCUUGUCAAGAUGAAGUUGCCAGCUAAAUGGAAUUAUAGCUUUCACAUAAGUUAUGAGGCAGCACUCCUCUGAGAAAACUUGUUUCACUUUCAAGGAGUGUGUGCUCUUAAUUCAGACCUGUUGUUUAUUUUAAACAAGUACACUGAUUUAGAAAAAUACAUAUGCUGGAUACUGGGGGUAUCCCUACUUUAUGGAGUUGAUUUAUUUCCACUAUCUGAAUUGCCAAAUGUUUUGCAAAAUUAGCAGUAUUUGGUGAAGUUUCUAAAUGAUGCAGUGACAUGACUAUGUGAGAAUCUUUAUAAUUUUCCAUGCUUGACUUGUGGAUGCUUGAAUUUGAUUUUAUGCAUGACAAAACCCCAAAUUUCAUAUUGUAAGGGGUUCAUCUACAUGCGUUGUAGGAAAUCCUUCAAUCUAAUAAGCUUUGGCUGCACAGUAUUAGACAGUUGCCUAUGCAAAACUAGAUACAGUCACUUAUCAAUUUAUCUUUGGAUGAUAUUUCUGUUAAACCAGACUUCCAGUGUGGGAACCUUUGUGUCUUUUAGAGAAGCCAUGAUCUGUGUGGUAAUUCUGAUGUUAAAAUCCACCCUUUUUUAUUUUCUCUUGCCUUAUCUCUGUGGGCAGCAAGAAGAUAAUAUCUUUCAGUGCUUGCUACUGCCACUGCCCUUCAGGACCAAACACAGGCAGUGGUAGUGUUCCCACAGUCUUACAACAGGAGACAGAAGCCAGUCUUACAAAAUAAUUUUAAGGAAGGAAAAUUGCAAGGUAAUUAGCUUCUAGAUUCCUGUCAUCAUGUCCAGGCAAUGCAGAAGUUAAGAACUGAUAGCUCAGAGAGCUGUCUGCUUGAAUAUCUGUCCAUGCCAAUGAGUCAGAGCUUGCAUCACAUCUCUUUUGGAAAGAGCAGGAACUGGUACCUUCUCAGCAAACCAUCACUGGCUGUGAACUGUUAGGAUGGGCAGAAAUGGGAUUUUAGAAAUAGGAACUAGACAGUAUUUUUAGCUAUGAGGUCAGUUUGUUCAAAGUCCAGUAAAUUUAAAUGCAGAUAGAUACUCACUGUGAUUCAUGGUGUGCAGCCAGCAUUAGUUCCUCAUGUUCUAACAAGGAGCUGCAAUGUUUAAUAUUAGAUCCAUUUUUAUGAGAAGAACAAAGCAGCUGGACUAUAGUGCUGCUGUGUAGUUUCCACUGAAUACUGCUGCACUUAUUUGAGUAUUUUUGUGGCUUGAGUGGUGUGAGCUCUUGUACUUUUAAAAUUGUUUUUUAUUUGCAUGUGCUACCACCUUGCACUGUUUUGAUUUGCAAUUACAGUGGCCCAUUUUUCUUUGUCAUUUAUUUUGUUUUGUGAUAUAUCGCUCUCUGAUAAUGGGCUGGCCUCACUUCUGUGAUAUGUCAUCCAAGAGUGUUGCUUCAGCAGCUGAAAAGAAGUGUGAAUUUCAACACCUCAUGGCUGCAAGCAGGUUUUAAACAAACAAAACAUAAUCCUUGGGCUGUGCUGGCUGUCUUACUAUACAAUAACUGUUCAACUGAAAAAAAAGCAGAUGUGACUCCAGGGCCCAGAAAUAUAGACAAACGUAGUGCUCCUAUCCAUAGUGGUGAAAAGACUCCAUCAUGUUGAAUAUUGACAUCCUCUCACUAUUGGUAAUGGGGUAAUAAGUGCUCUUAUCAAGUGCUCACUUGUUUGCUCAGGUAGGAAAAUUUAGCAUCCAAAGCCACCUCUUUUAAAGACCUGGUAUAUUUUUUUUCCAUGAAGCCUUCAUCUGAUGGUGGAGCUCUGAGAUGCAGACCCACCUGAUCCUGCUAAGAACUGCUUGCCCAGGGCAGUUUUCCUACAAGGGCUUGAUACUGUUAUUUUUUUCUGUAUUCCAAAAGAGCUGCAGACCCAUUCUCCCAGGUGCUGGAUAAGCCCACAGAAAUACAAUGAGUAUUAAAUAACUUACAUAUUUCAGAUGGAUUCAUUUAAACUGAUCUUGGGCACAAAAGGUGCCUGAAUUAGGGAUCUAUGCUCCCUCAACAGUCAGUGGAGAUGCAGUUGACAGAUGUGCUGAAGUUGCAUCCUUGCAAACUCUCAGUAUGGGGAUGAUGAGGCAUUGAUGUUUAAGACUCUCAGCUAUCUUUUGGAGUGAAACUCAGCUAAAGUUUCCACCUCUGAAAGAUGCAGUAAGAAGAGAGGGGGGAAGUUAACUGUGUCACCUUGGAUGAAAGGCUAAUUUGCUAGCAUUGUGCAUGCUAUGUAUGCACAGUCAUGCUGGUGCAAACCAGGAAUUUCACCAGAAAUCUAGGAAAGAAGCAACACAGGUAGGACAAAGGGGCACACAACUAUAUGACAGGCCUGCUAGAGUCAUGGUCAGAUGAAAGCAAAGGAAAAGACAAUAUGUCAGGGAGAGAUGUGGUCUGGGUUGUUUGGCCAAUGUCAUGUUUGAGGUAAAAAUCAUUAUUUUCUUGCUGCUAACCUCCCUCCUAGAUUUGAGAGGUGAUAACUGGAAAAUGGUUGAAGGGCAGGUAAGUAAUGGAUUGGGAAUACAGGCUGUGGAAGGACGAAUUUAGGAAAAUGUUUGGCCAGUUUGGGAAAAUGUUUGAAGAUAAAAAGCAGGUCUCAAUUCAGAAGCUGGGGUGAGGGCAUGAGGAUGGGAGGCCUCCCAUUUCAGCUUGUGCUGGGACUCCUGGGGUAACCUCAGCCCACUUGUGAGGCUGGAGGGGCAGGUGACCAGCUCCAGAGCACACUCAGAGAGGCCAAUGGGACCCUGACAUGUCUUUGUUACUCCUGCAAAUACAGACAAGUACAUAUUGUGCUUGUUUUGAAUUGCCAGAGCAUCUAAAAUGUUUGCAAAGCCCUUGUGAAUAAUUGUAUUAACUCAAAAAUAACACACUUGAUAAUUGCUGAAAUUGUAGGUAAACCAUAUGUUUUGGUUAUGGUUCUGGUACAGCUUGUUCUCAAAUUUGAAAGGAUGUUAUUUUUCAUACAUUCUUGAAAACAAAUGAGCACUAUGUGAACAUAAGAAUAAAGGAACUGAUUCAUAGAUUUGGAAGUGAUCUUCUGCUGCUCAGGUCUGUUAUUGAUUUUUUUGUAUUCUUAAAUAUUUACUCUUUUUAUCUGCUGUGUGUGUUGAAGUCCACUGCAGCUGAGUGAUUUAUGGGGUCCAAUGGCUUUGCACAGAGGAUAAUCACUGGCUGAAGUUUCUGAAAGCUCAGGUUCUUUGGGUCUUUCACUGGGCCAGACUCUAUGAAUAAUGUAGGCUCUCUCCAUUUUUUAUAUUCCUUAAUUUGAAACUCUGAAUAAUGAUCUCUGAGUCUCAUUUCUGAGCAGUCAUUUAUUUGGGUGAUUUGGGACUACAGUGACAUUCUGUUGGGCAUUCAAAUUACAUUCAGAUGAAGUAGUUUUCUUACCUGCUUCAACAUUUUAUCACAUAACCUCCCAAAUCCAGACUGCAAGUUUUCAAGGUGAGAUUAAUAAUUUCUGUACCAUUUAUUUACUCUGGUAGCAAAUUUAUGUGGGUACAACUGAGGUAAGGCUUCCUUCUAGAAUGCCAGAUUUAGGUUAAAUAUUCUAAUACAUUUUUUCCUGCUCAGAGAUGAACAUGAACUGUAUAUAGCACUUAUGUAGGACUCACCCUCAAAAUUAGGGGUUUUUUGCAUCUUAAGGGAUACACAAGAUUUGCAAAGUGUGUUGGAUUUAGCUCCUAAAUCCUCGAGGCCCAUUUGUGAACUGACAUAUAUGCAAAGAAAAGCAGGCUGAUGUCAGCAGCUGCUGGAGACAACCACCUUCACUCAUGAACAUAAACAGAGCUCUCUGACUUGGUGGUUUCAGAUUCUCUUUAAUUACUCUUUAAAGCUCAGCUUUCUUGCAGCAAGGAAAUUUGGCUCUAAGGUCCAUCCUGAUGCAUCUGACUUUUUCCAUAAAUUACAGCCCAAAACACUGGUGACCUGCAGCUGGGAAAGUAAGAAGAGCCCAGGAACAGAGAGCCCCAUGGUGCCAACAGCUCAGGAAGGUGCAUUGCAGACCCCUGGCCAUCCACUGUGCUCUAAAGUUAUGCUUUUAAGCACUGCAAAGCACAGCCUUUAAUGUAACAAAGUGCAGAUUCCUCCAUAAACUGUCUUGGUAAGACACUGUCACAAGGCCCAGGCACAGCAGACUUUUCUUUUUUUGUGUACAAUAAAAAGACAAGAUGAAACCCCUCAGAGAUGAAGCCUUUUGCUCUGUGACUUGCUAAUUUCAGUUUCCAGGCAUCUCUGAGUUAGGAAAUGAGUCAUAUGGUUAUUAUUUACUCAUCAGCUCUGCAGUUUCUGGUGUCUUGAUCAUUUUGGUUGUAACUGGGAGUGUUACCUUCUUCAAAAUAAGGGCUUGAAAGAUGAGCAACUAAUUGCAGCCUUCACUCCUUUGGUUACAAAACAGCUGCAUGUACAGGGCUGGCAGCCAUAUUAAUGCCUAGGAUGAGGCAUUAAUGUCCCUGCAGUGUUUAGAGGGAUCUCCCAAGUAAUUAGUCUGUAAGGAGAUUUAGAAGAGAUGCAGACAGUAAUACAGGGAUCUCCAACUACAAAGCCCAAGGCCUUCCAGUGCCCCUGUGCUUGGGUGGACCUUGAGCCCUGCCACCUGCUAUGCCCAUGGGGCUCAGAGGUGCCAGAACUUAUCCACAAAAGCGCUCCAAAACUGCCAUCCUGUUUCCCAAGGGUUAGAUGGUCCUGCUGUGAUACCUUGUUUUCUGUGAUUUGUCUUUUCCUAAAAAAAAGUGGGAAAAAAAUUCCACUUUUCUGUUCCUUUAUGGCCUCUAAUUUUGACAUGGCAUCUCUCUCACUGCAUGACAUCCCUUGCAGUCUAGUCCCACUCACAUGAAAAUGGAACAAGAGUUUUGCAGUGGCAGCUCUCUAUGAAACACUUUCUGUGCCUGAGUGCACCUGUGGCAGCCACUGCUGCGGUGUCUGAAUACCUCAAACACCAUUGCCACGAGCUCCAGCUGCUGCUGCUUGCCUAGACACAGGUUUAAGAAGUGUGGUGUAUUUUGGGGCUGUCUGCAGUGUGAAGUGACCCACAACAAUCCCUGACUUGCUUGUGUCAUCCUCCUUCUUUGUGCAGCAGUUGAGGAGCUCAGUGUCUCAUUGGCUUUUGCUGUCAAAGCUGUGUGGUAGAGGCACAGGUCUUUCUACAGAGAUUUCACAUUCACCCACAGCUGCUGGUGCUGUAAUUGCUGCUUUGCUAACAAGUGCUGUUAGUGCCUUAUUUGCUGUCUCUGGCACUGCCACAGAGAUGUACUAGAUGUCACUUAUCCUUGGAUUACUGCUCUUCUCAGUAAUCAUUAGACUUUCUCACUGCACAUUCCUGUAGGAUUUUUCACUUUACUUCUUUUAUGGAAGCACCUAUGAGUGCUCCAUAGAAAUAUAAGAGUUGUGAUUUAAAUACUGUAUGCAAAUCCAUAAAAAUAGGUUGUCCCUGCCUCAAUUAAACAGUUUAUACUGUUAAAAAAAAAAAAAAAAAAAAAAAAA
ensembl:lncRNA